CCUCUCAUGCCCAGGCCCUGUCUCACUUGCUAGGGCAGAGCCCAAGUCCAGGAUAAAAGGGCCUCUGGACCAGAGCAUCUGCAUUCACUCCCUCCUGAGGUGGUGACAGAUCCUGUGCUGCUUGUGUGCCUGCUCCUGAACGCCCGCUUGCCUGCCCACCGAGAUGUCCUGCCAGCAGAGCCAACAGUGCGUCCCCAAGUGCCCUCCCAAGUGCUGCACCCCAAAAUGUCCCCCUAAGUGUCCCCCCAAGUGCCCUCCAGCGUCUUCCUGCUGCAGUGUCAGCUCUGGGGGCUGCUGUAGCUCUGGGGGUGGGGGCUGCUGUAGCUCUGGGGGUGGGGGCUGCUGUAGCUCUGGGGGUGGGGGCUGCUGCCUGAGCCACCACAGGCACCGCAGGUCUCACCACUUCAGACACAGAAGCUCUGACUGCUGCAGCUCAGGGGGCUCCAGUUGCUGCGGAGGGGGCUCUGGAGGGGGCUCCAGCUGCUGCGGAGGGGGCUCUGGAGGGGGCUCCAGCUGCUGCGGAGGGAGCAGUGGUCAGUUCUCUGGAGGCUGCUGCUGAAGUGGACUCUGAGCCAAGAAGAGCUGACUGGGGUGUAGCCAAUGGCCACUCACCUCCUUCUCCUGUUCCUCCUGCUGGGCCUGCCGUGCUGCUGAGAGGUCUGGGUGAGGCCUCUGAAUUCUGCUGCAGAGGAUCCCUGUGCACGGGUGUCCUCGAGCCCAAACCUCUCCCUGGAACCCACCUCCCAACUUCUUUCCAUGUAUGCUCAUAUGUGUGCCUGCUCUGGGAACUCCAGAGCACAGACCUGUGCCCUUAUGCAGCUAUGUGUGUGCGCACAGCCUGAUGUGAAACAAUAAAAGGAUGAUUCUGCAUUU